UCGACGGCAGCAGACCGUGACAAUCCCUUCGGGGUGCGUUUGGUGCUGGCGAGUGGCGGACGGGUGAGUAACACGUAGGAAUCUGCCCAACAGUGGGGGACAACCCGAGGAAACUCGGGCUAAUACCGCAUACGCCCUACGGGGGAAAGCGGGGGACUUUCGGGCCUCGCGCUGAUGGAUGAGCCUGCGUCGGAUUAGCUUGUUGGUGAGGUAACGGCUCACCAAGGCGACGAUCCGUAGCUGGUCUGAGAGGAUGAUCAGCCACACUGGGACUGAGACACGGCCCAGACUCCUACGGGAGGCAGCAGUGGGGAAUAUUGCACAAUGGGCGAAAGCCUGAUGCAGCCAUACCGCGUGGGUGAAGAAGGCCUUAGGGUUGUAAAGCCCUUUCAGUUGGGAAGAAAAGGUCGGGGUUAAUAUCCCCGGUUCUUGACGGUACCUACAGAAGAAGCACCGGCUAACUCAGUGCCAGCAGCCGCGGUAAUACUGAGGGUGCAAGCGUUAAUCGGAAUUACUGGGCGUAAAGCGCGCGUAGGCGGUCUGGUCAGUCAGGUGUGAAAGCCCCGGGCUUAACCUGGGAACUGCAUUUGAAACUGCCAGACUAGAGUGUGGUAGAGGGAAGUGGAAUUC
rnacentral:rRNA from 1 species